UGGGGAAUAUUGGAUAAUGGGCGAAAGCCUGAUCCAGCCAUGCCGCGUGUGUGAAGAAGGUCUUCGGAUUGUAAAGCACUUUAAGUUGGGAGGAAGGGCAGUAAGCGAAUACCUUGCUGUUUUGACGUUACCGACAGAAUAAGCACCGGCUAACUCUGUGCCAGCAGCCGCGGGAAUACAGAGGGUGCAAGCGUUAAUCGGAAUUACUGGGCGUCAAGCGCGCGUAGGUGGUUCGUUAAGUUGAAUGUGAAAGCCCCCGGCUCAACCUGGGAACUGCCUCCAAAACUGGCCAGCUAGAGUAGAGCAGAGGGUGGUGGAAUUUCCUGUGUAGCGGUGAAAUGCGUAGAUAUAGGAAGGAACACCAGUUGCGAGGGCGACCACCGGGACUCAUACUGACACUGACGUGCGAAAGCGUGGGGAGCAAACAGG
rnacentral:rRNA from 1 species